CUAGAGACAGUUCUCUGCUAGGGUAGCUGAUUAAAACAAUGGUACAGUACCUUGACUAAUGUAGAGCUAAUUAAAACUGCAUAGGACAAAGCACUUCUAAAUAUACUAUAGGGAUCAAUCUUGCUAUGGACUUUUUGUCAGAAGCAUGGCAAGGAACUUCAGUCUGGCUUUCAAAAGUGCUGAACACCCAAAACUCCUACCAAGGUCUCCUGGAAUUACAGCUCAAAAAUCCAAGUCUUGGGAUGAAGUGCAGAAACUGAAGCCUGCUAGCCAGUUGACUGUUCAUACAAGAAACUCUUCGAAUGUUCACAGCUUUGGUCAGAGGACAGCUAGAUAAGAGAGACACAGUGGGAGCUGAAGUGGCACACAAGCUGUGUGACCCAGAGGGGCCAAGCUGGGCUUUUCCCAGGGAAAGGUUUCUGACUGUGGCUCUCCAGCUCCAGCAUGUCUGGGAGGAUGUUAACUUGGCUCUUGCCAUGUUCAAGGGGUCAAAGAGACGCAGGUACCUCGGCAUAAGCCGCAUCCUUACAAGGUAAUAACUGUGCCAGGAGAAUAUGUUCUGAUGCCUUUUAUUAAGGGGAUGGUAAACAGAAGGUCAGGUAAGAUACACCAGCUUUAUUCCUAGUUACUUUAUACAUCAUGAGGUAUGGUAAAGGGAGAAGACUCUCCCUUUCUUUUCCAGCUGAGAUGGAAAAGCCAAAAUCUUUUCCUAAUGUGUCAUCAUUCACUUCUUUCACACAGUGCACACCGUGUGUGCACCCCACCACAAGGCAUGGUGCUGUAUUGCAGCCAGUCAGUGAACCAUCCAGAGGAAGCCUUCCAGUACACCAGCCAUUUGGAUGACAGGACUUUUGUUUGGUGUAAGAUUUACUGGUUUCCUCUUUCUGUUGACAUGUGUCAAGUGGACAUGUCAGGUGUGACUCUUUCUGAAUCUCUGAGACCUUCUGCUUUUAUAGUACUUUUCAGAAGAUCAGUGAUCUAUUUGACUGCUGAGCUGGGUCACCUGCCUGGAUUUUGGAUCCUCCCUAGUUCUUGCCUCUAUUCAUGUUUUAAGUCAGUAGCAGAGUAUUUUUCUAAGCUCAUGAAUACCAGUCCUUCUCCAAGCAGGGAAACUCUCUCUCUGGUUGAACACUUAUUCAAUUUGGUAAAACAUACCAAUUUUUCAGCUUCAGCUCCAGAAUUCCCCUUACCACUGCUGAUAAGCAUGCUUUAUUACAGUUCUGCUGCGGGAUUCUCUGCAUGGGGCUGUAUCUCCAGUUUCAUUGUCCUUGUCAUGUGAAGUGUGCUCAUACACCCUCGCCCUUUCCCUGCCACCCUCUUGGCCUCGGCACAGUUUUGACAUUGCAGAUGGUUUGCAGGCAGAUCCUGCCCCUGGCUGGCCAGAAGAACUCCCACAAGAACCUGGGAUUGCUGUCAUUUCUCUCUUUCUUCUCUGUGUUUUUAUGUUUAUAAUUCCCCAUGACCAAUCAUCCCUAUGCUAUUCUGUGCGAGCCCACUGAAAGGAGCACUUCAUCGUGAUGAAAAGGAGAUCAUCGUCUUUAAUGCCAAAAGAAUAACUAACCUUAAGGCUUCUUUUGUUUGGGAUUUUCAUUUAUAUGUUAUCUGGGGCAAAGUUCACAGCUGAGAUUUUUGGUAAUCCCCAUUCAGGUGCUGCCAAACAAGGGUGGCACUGACAAAGAUAUUUGAGAUAAGCAAUUUUUUUUUUACCUUAAACAUUUCCCAGUCAUCUAAAAGUUCUGCUUUGCUUUGAUUGUUGCAUGGUUUUAGUUUUGGCAGGGCUCAAACUGAUCAGAUCCAGAACUAUGGGUUAUUGUACCUAAGUCUUCCAAGAAGCUCUCAAAGCACCUGACAUAUGCCCACAGGAUUGAGUUGCUUUCUUUUAAAGUGCUGUUGAGGGAGUGGCACUCUCCCACCUCCAGGCUGUAUCCCAGGUGGGGCACAGCAACCCCCCAACUUUGCUAGUUUUCCGAGCAAAGUUGCUCCACUGUGGGAAAAACAAUGCAGGAUUUAUUGGGUUAGACUUUGCUCCAAGGCUAUGUAGUUUUUCAAUGACAUUUUGAUGUCAAAUAAAAAAAAGAUAGCCAGAAAAGCUGCCAAAUACAAAUCUCAGCUUCAGACAGCUGUAAACUUUGGGUACAUUAGAGAUAGGAGCUGAGCAGUAUUGUCAGAGCCUGUGAUGUAUUUAUUAACCAAAAGUGAGAAAAUUUAUCCCGCUUCGGAGAACUGAAGUGAACUUUGGGUGUCACGUAAGCCUGGUGUUGCUCUGCCAUUUGGGAAGUUAAUUUCCCCCUAGAAGGAAGUUACGGCCUUUAAUCAAAGGCUUGUGAAAAGUGACUCAUUUUGCUAGGUUGGCAAAGGUUUCUAAUUUGUUUUGAUAUUUUUGGUUCUAUCCAGAGAAUGUCUCUUAUUGGAAAAGACAGAUUAAAGAAAUAGAUAAAAAAAGAGGGAGAAAUGCUUGAUGUGCACUUGAGGUGCCCAGAUUUGUUGAAAUAUGAGCUUGGAAAGUCUGAGUGAUCUUCACAUUCAGAUCACAAUUUCACUGUAAAAGAAAGGUCACUUUUGCUUGUAUUCUGGGGCAGCUUUUUCUCUUUUGUCCCCUUGGUAAGAUCUCUCCUUUUGUAUUAUUAUGGAUGUACCUUGGUUUCGAACUUUUCCUUUUUACUGUUUUUUUUCUCUUUUUUCUUCUUUUUCUUCUUUAUGGACAAAGGACUGAUAUUUCAUCUUUUAAAAGAUUUACAAGAAAAAGAUAUAAUACAUGCACCACUGUGGAAAAGCAUUUCUCUGUUCAUACCUUUGCAUUUUACAGGGAAAUAUGUCAUUCCUUUCAGAUCCAUGAAUUAAGAUGCACUAUUUUUUGCUGAAGGCUAUUUUAAAUUAGGCUAAUAAAUUGCUGCUCUCUGCCUUGCGUGAUAAUGCAUUACAUUAUCUACUGAUGUACAUGUAUUGUUUGACUCUAAUGGUGUGGAAA